GCAUAUGCUUGUGGUAUCCAGGGGGUCUGUUAGAGACUGGUGACCUUCCUUUCACAUAGCAACAAAUUUCAGAGAGUUACUUGUCACUAUGAGUGGUUUAUCUAGGUUCAAGCUUGUAAAUGUAAGAUUUUUAGCAGCUGUAUUUCUGUCACUGCAGUCGUCUCUCUACCUAUUGGCAACUUGGGAAAACUUUGUGGUAUUCAGAUUUGCCAAGCUUCAUCAAUUAUGCAAAUAGACCUCUGGAUGCUGCCUGCCAUGAAAUAUUUUCUUCAUAUUGCUACAGUAACGAAAGGAACUGUGUUAACCUUCCAUGUAGGUUUUGGCAAAAGACAACAGCUUCCCACCUAGACUGUACCCUCCAGCAGGGGAAACCAUGCAGGACCUGUUUUAAAAACCCCAGUAUCUACAGUGCUGAGCGCAACACCUGCACCUGAAGAUGAACUGUGAACUGGGAAGCACAAUAUCCAACUAGUAAAGAAUCCUCAUCACAUCCUUUAUAAAUUCAGUACCAACCCUUUGACUCUGGAUACUGUAAGGAUCUACUAGAAUUACAUUUUUCAGCAAUGACCUCUGGCCACUUACGUCUAACAUAAUAAAUGCAAGGACUUUGCCA
rnacentral:lncRNA from 1 species